rnacentral:rRNA from 1 species
GACGAACGCUGGCGGCGUGCCUAAAACAUGCAAGUCGAACGAGAUCUUCGGAUCUAGUGGCGAACGGCGGAGUAAUACAUAAGUAACCUGCCCUGAAGACGGGGAUAUACAGCGGAAACGCUGGGCAAUACCCGAUGUGACUCUUGGAUGGCAUCAUCCGAGAAUUAAACGGUUUUUCGCUUCAGGAGGGGCUUAUGACGCAUCAGUUUGUUGGUGGGGUAAUGGCCUACCAAGACUACGACGCGUAGGGGGUCUGAGAGGAUGAUCCCCCCGAGUGGGACUGAGACACGGCCCACACACCUACGGGUGGCAGCAGUUGGGAAUCUUGCACAAUGGGGGAAACCCUGAUGCAGCGACGCCGCGUGGAGGAUGACGGCCCUAGGGUUGUAAACUCCUUUUUCAGGGAAAGACUUAGGACGGUACCCUGAGAAUAAGCUCCGGCUAACUACGUG